AAAUGAAUUGACGGGGGCCCGCACAAGCAGCGGAGCAUGUGGUUUAAUUCGAAGCAACGCGAAGAACCUUACCAAGGCUUGACAUCCCCUGACAACCCUGGAAACAGGGCUUCCCUUCGGGGCAGGGAGACAGGUGGUGCAUGGUUGUCGUCAGCUCGUGUCGUGAGAUGUUGGGUUAAGUCCCGCAACGAGCGCAACCCUUACAUUUAGUUACCAGCGGGUGAUGCCGGGGACUCUAGAUGGACUGCCGGGGACAACUCGGAGGAAGGUGGGGACGACGUCAAAUCAUCAUGCCCCUUACGUCUUGGGCUACACACGUGCUACAAUGGCCGUAACAAAGGGAAGCGAGAUCGUAAGAUGGAGCGAAACCCAGAAAAGCGGUCCCAGUUCGGAUUGUGGGCUGCAACCCGCCCACAUGAAGUCGGAGUUGCUAGUAAUCGCGAAUCAGCAUGUCGCGGUGAAUGCGUUCCCGGGCCUUGUACACACCGCCCGU
rnacentral:rRNA from 1 species